rnacentral:rRNA from 1 species
UACGAAGGGGGCUAGCGUUGCUCGGAAUUACUGGGCGUAAAGCGUGCGUAGACGGUAGCGUAAGUCGGGUGUGAAAGCCCCGGGCUCAACCUGGGAAUUGCAUUCGAGACUGCUCUGCUAGGGUGCGGAAGAGGGGAGCGGAAUUUCCGGUGUAGCGGUGAAAUGCGUAGAUAUCGGAAGAAACACCAGUGGCGAAAGCGGCUCCCUGGUCCAGCACCGACGUUCAGGCACGAAAGCGUGGGGAGCAAACAGG